rnacentral:lncRNA from 1 species
CCCCUAAAUCCACCUCUGAUAUCAACCUCUAGAUGUCUUUCAAUUACAUUCAGUUUAGUGUGGGUUGAUGUUUGAUUGUUGUACAUGUUACAAUUACAUUCAGUUUAGUGUGGGUUGAUGUUUGAUUGUUGUACAUGUUACAAUGAGCAAAGCCCAUACCGCAGUCAGCUAUAAAAGGCCCUGAUAAGACAAUGUAAAACAAUUCAAACGAGAAAACUAACAUGUCUGUUUAAGGUUACAUCAUCAAAAUAUGUAGGGUAGGUAGGUAGGUCGGUAUUUUCUUUUUAUUAUUUUGUCCAUUUUAUUUUUUGUGCCAUGAUUUUGAAUUGUGUGGUCCGAGUUGUCCAUGGGGCGAGAGUUCCCCUAUUUAUAAUGAUUGGAUUAUUUCUUACGACGGCAAUAAAAUGGCUUAGGGUGGGUGCUCAAAAUAGGAUCGGUCAGGUACCCAUAAUCAAACAUAUAUUUUUUUGGCCUUACCGAGAGCACCAUUGAAAUAUAUACAAAUCACGGAUCGGAU